rnacentral:lncRNA from 1 species
UCCGUUUUGACCUGUUUUUCUCCAGGGGAAGAAGAAGACUGCCACUGCCAGGACACCUUCCACGACAACUCUCAGGGACCUCCUAUAGUUAGUUUGUUUGUUGCGACCAGUUGACAGAGGCUGAAGGAAUACUCUGCUGUAAAACAGCAAACACAAGUCAUGUGAAUAUGUGAUACUUAUAUGAAAUGGAUUCGCUGUUCAUAGAAGACAUUUGUUUUACUGACCAAGCUUCUCAUGUGACAUGGUUAAUUAUGCCAUGUCACAUUGUCCUAGACCAAGAAUUGGUCGUGCUGUUAUUCUAGAAAAAAAUAAAGAAUUGGUCGUGAAGGCAGGUUAAGGUUAAGUUUAAGCCCCUGCCUCCUCCUGUUUGGCUCUGCUAUGAACUGAGCACAGCAACCCAGACAAGAAGCAGAAUGAAACUGAAACUAUGAAGCAGACACCUAAAUGCCACUGCCUGACAGCACACAAUGCACUUGCAAUCAAUUAGGAGUGAUGGACACUUCUUUGCACAUCAACUAAUACACAGGCUGAAUAAAAAAAGAAAAAGGAGAGAGCCCCAACUGAACACUACCCAACAACAACAGGCUAUAUAUGAUUUCCCGCAUGCUUCCUCCACUAGGCUUCUGUUUCUCUUCAGUCAUCUCCAGCACAUUCCAGCCAUGGAGCCUGUCUAAUCCCGAACCCCGACCGGACCGGCGAUAAGCGACGACGCCGUUGCACUUCCCCCCACCCCCACGGUGUCAUGUCAUCGGAGCCCGACGGGGAGACCACCGCCGCGACUGGCUUCUUCCGUUCCUCCAUCAGAUCAUCAGUGUCUAUACGCGAGCAACGACACAGUUAGCGAGAGAUGACAUGGUCAAGGAUCAUCGAUCACUUCCCAAAUCUCAAGCACUUGUUGUGUUUCACUUCGCCCAUGCUCGACGGCGGUACCUGCGGCGCCUUUGUCGCUCGCUCCUUCGCCAGCUUCUCCAUCGCGUUCACGAACUUCCGCAGGUGCCGGAUGUACUCGGGGUACGUCUCCAGGUUGCAGUGGCCACCACCUUUGACCCACAGCGGCUCGUACUUCUCCUUCGCUAGCUCCCAUAGGCGCUUGCCGUGCGAGAAGUCAACGAUGUCGUCCGCCGUGCCCUGAAAUGUGAUUCAGCAAAGUCCAGAUCAAGCAAAGAUCCAGCUGGAAGUGACCAUAAAGCAUAUCAUAAUCUUGAGUCUUGGCACAAAGAUAAUGAAACCACAAACAUUUUGAACUCCAGCUAAUUAGACGUUUAAAUACAAUAUUUAAGUCUGCAUUCGGAGCAGGCUUCAUAGGGGACACUAAUAAACGCAGACUGUCCAUAUGCAUCAGGAGUCCAGGACACCACCACCAAGUUCUUGUGGUGGCAACUAUCAUAUGUUUUUUUUUAAUCUAUUUUUGUAGUUUCAAAGGCUGAGAAGAUAAGCUUCCUUUAUGGGAAGGAACAAAAUCAUAGCAGUUCCAUCAGAACACACAAAUCAAUGAGAUAGACUUGCUAUGAGAAAAAGAUGACUGGACAUCAAUGCAAAAGGUAAGUGAGUCCCUACUCACAUGUAUAACCAGCACUGGACAUUCGACCUGCUUUAUUUUGUCGAUGUUCUGCAAUCGUUGGCAGUAAGGUGAUGAUUAGAAGAAUAAACGACCGGCAUUUCAGAACCAAAGUGAAAAGGCGUAUAACCCAGACUUCCAGACUUACCUUGAAGAUAUCAAACCAAAGUGUCACUUUCACUGGAUACAAAACGCGUAUGCCUGACAGAAUACCGCUGUGAAGGACGACCCCUCUUAGUUUCUCCAAACGUGAGGCCAAGUGCAACGUCGGUCCGCUUCCAACUGAUUGCCCAUACAGGAUCAGAUCCUCUUGCCCUAUCCCAUACUCCUUUUUCAAACAGUCGUAGACAGCCUCUAUGUCGUAGUACGUGUUAUACUCCGAUGGCUGCCGAAGCGGAAAACAAGAUCGAAAAAAGGAGCGUAGUUAGGUUAUGUAUUCCACACAAGGAAAAAUGUACCACUCAGCUACCUAAUAUAUAUAAGUGCAUACACAUGAACAUGUCUACUAUCAUUUAUUCUGCUAUAACAACAAUUGUCUCCCAUGUAAGUGUACAACAGUUCACAAAAUCUAUGUAUUGCAUAUGGGAACAAGCACACAUGCUAGUUCAUUAUUUGAUUGGCCAAAGGAAGGUUUUGAGUAGGGACCGAUAACCGAUAAGUGUUGGGGCUGUUGGUCCCUUACUUUAGCAACUUUGUCAAAAGGAUGACAACCAGAACAAAGGUAACAUCAUGGACUAGAAUAGCAGAAAGCGAGUAUGACUUUUGGGGUGUUUGUAGUGCAUAUGAAUGAAAAAGCAUGACCAACCAUUUGCCGAUGUCCUUUUAUAGAUGAGGCCAACAAAGAUGGGAGUGGCUAAUAAUUAUUAUUUGCUUUUAAGAAAGGGUGCCCACACACCUAUCGAAGAACACAAAGCUGAUUAUGAGAAAAGGAUAGGGAGCAAUGCAAUCCAAUAGUUGUCAGUAAUUGAUGAAAAUGUGGCACUAUCAUAUACAGGGGACAUCAUGAUCACAAAAUUUGAGAGUUUAUGUAGGAAUGGGACGUGACAAAAAAAGACAGCUUAACUGCAGAUUUAAGCAACAGGAGAACCGCGUUCGAGUUCUUAUAAUUACUUGGGGAUUCAGAUUCUUACUUUUCCUGUAGAGGCCCCAUAUCCUGAAUAGUCAUAGCUGCACAAGAAAACCAAGUAAACAGAUUUAGUAGAUUCGUCGGAGUAAAAUCCCAUCAGCAAGAUCCACCAGGCAAGAAAUCUGCAGUCCUAUCAGAUUCAGGUAGAAACUACUUUUCAAUUGGUGUAAAAUACUCAAAAGUCUCAAAAGUCAAGCAGUAGACAUCAACAAGAUCCAGCAGGCAAGAAAUCUCACAAAUAUGAGAUGUGACAAUAUCCCAUAGAAAACGCAAAUUUGAAGAUCUAUUGGAUUGCCCACCAAAGGGAACGUGCAGGUUGUCAUCUGCAGUGCAACCACCACAAGGAAACAACCGUAUACUGCAAUACUCAGCACUCUCAUAUCUUCGAUCCCUUAUAACACACAACACCAAAUGGCCUUACAAUGCAUCUAUGCCACAUGCACGGUGACGUCUGAACGCUCAUAGUCAUUGGUGAAUCGAUGGCCACUAACUGACUGACAAUGCUGAAAGCAACAUCAGCAGAAGAGCACACAUGGGAGCAAUCGUUAGCAUCAGCAUCAGAGCAGAACCUGAUGAUAUGGUACAGACUGGUACUACAAUAAUUGAAGCCGUUGAAAAACCUGGGAUCUUCUCCCCGGAUUAAUUAACCUCAGACCUGGUACUAUAAUCAAAGGUAGGCGACUGGCUGUUUGUUUCUACCCCGGAAUUGUGACUAGGAUAGGAUAUGGUUGGAGCAGAUUAUCUCCACGAAGAAGCAAAACCCAAAUUGUGUCUGAAUCAAACUUAAAAAAAAUAAAAAUGGAAGCAGGCUAUUCAGCAGAGAGUUAUCCAGCGGAUCUUCCCCGGGUCAAUCAAAAAAUUCCAAACGCCACCUAAUUCAUUAUUUAUUCACGGUUGGCUGACUAGCAGACGACAAAGACGAAGCUCCGAUUAAAUCCUCCUCGAACCGAAUCAGCAUGCGCUGGAGCCAGAAAACAACUCCGGAUACGGAAUAUUACGAGGAAUACGACCACCAACAGCCUGCCAAAUCCAAUCGGAAGUGCAGAAGAUGAACCUGAAUAUCGAUUGCGCAGGUCGCAGGUGAAUGCGGGAGCAUGACGCGGCCGUGUGAGGGAAACUAGAGGCUACGGAGGCGGGGAGGGGAGAGGGAGGGGUGGGGGCGGGCUGACCACAUGAUGUUGACGCGGAGGUGGGAGCGGAGCUCCAUGAAGAGGCCGAGCAUCUGGCCGAGGUCGGCGGCGUUGCCGUGGGAGUAGAGCAGCGUGAGGCGCGCGGUGGGGUAGCGCCAGAAGGCGGCGACGACGCGCGUCCCGGCCCUGGUGGGCAGCGCGUGCACGUCGACGUUGGCGUCGGGCAGCACCCCCGUCAUCCGCAGCCCGCCCUCCUCCGCCGCCACCUCGUACGUCGCCGGCUCCGGCGGGAAGAAGGCCAGCCGCGCCGCCACCGACGACGUCACGUUCCCCAUCCCCUCCUCCGCCUCCGCCCUCCGCCCUCCGGGAACGGCUGGCUGGCUAUUCCUGGUGGGGGCCCUCCGAAUUCCGCAACGUGAGAGCCGGCCAGCUAGCGCCCCGCCCCUCCGCUUAUGAGGGAGGCGCCCCGCUCCUUUUGGCCGGGCCUCCUCGCUCUGCUUUCGGUCUGGUUUGGUUUGGUUGUGUGGCGUGUCGACGGAGGAGGAUGGAUGGCAAGUCCACUUCCGUUCCUCCUUCUCUUGGACGGGCGCGUGUAAAUGCGGGGAGAAAUGCGGGUGGGAGACAACGAGAGAUCCUACUCCCCGGCCUGUACGGGAGUCGACGUAUGCAGAGUAUGCUAGAAAUACCCUCUCUUUUUGCGAUGGAUGGAUGUAAUUGAGUGAUUGUAUUUCGUUGAAAUUUUAGAAACAUAAAUCCUAAGGCCUCUUUGGUUCAUAGAUCAAAUUGUAGGAGAAAAAAUGUCUACCACAACGCAGUGACGACUGAACGCUCAUGGUCAUUGGCAGAUAGACGACUUCCCGAACAAGGCUACAAUAAUGUUUGCCCGACUCUGAUGAGGGAGGGGCAAUGACGGCGGUGUGGCUUCGGCUGGCUCCAGUGCUUGUAGUCGUCGUUAGGUGGUCUACGAAUCCAAAAAAACUUUUGAUGUUUUUUGUGCUAUCUUGACAGUUGAUGAAUAGAUCAAAAGUUUUUUUUAAAACAAACAGAGCGUCAAGCAUGGUUUUGAUCUCUGAUGGGCUUGAAGUACCACUGCCAUGACCAUCCACCAACUGGGUGUUUCUCAAAUGUGUGUGUGCAUUGUCUAAGGUUAGAAAAAUGGUUGUUUCUCAAACGUGUGUGUGUAUUUUCUAAGGUAUAAAAAAGAAGAAGAAAGGAAACAACCAUACAGGUCAACUGCAUUUUCACUUCUGAACGAGCUAUUAACAAGGUACUGUAACGAACAUGCUAGGCACAUUCCACCCAAGAAUGAGUUAACCGUGAGUGUGUUAUAGGGCAACUCCAAUGCACGAUCUCAAAUCAUUCAGUUGCGUCCGUUUGAGGAUAGACGGACACAAAAUACGACCCAACGUGUGGGAGCAAACGGACAAACGUUUGUUUUUAGUUCGCUUCCAAUCCAUUCUCGGCCCAACUAUCGGCCGCAUUUGCGUCGAAACGGACACGCGCUGACGGCGUGACGCGUCCUCGUGUCCUCCCCUGGCCCGCCCGUCGGGGAACACAGGCGCCCCUUUUCUUCCCCAGCCCCCCCUCCCCUCCCUCGAACCCUACCCCGCCAUCAUCAUCGCCGCCAUUUUCUCGGCCAGCCCCUGCUCGGCGCACCCCCCCUCCUCCUCCUGCCGCCCACCCCUCUGGCGUUUGUCUCAGCCGCGUCGUUGUCCUGUCGGGCCGUCGGAUUUGAGCGCAUCUGGCCGCCUCAUUUGUGCGGAUCUGGCCACCGGUGAGCUGUGCCUAGCCAGGGAUUGGCCGGGCACCGGACCGCACAGCCCCCGCAACAUCUCUGCGUCGCAUGCAGGCAUGGACUCCGCCUCUAGCCGCUCGGAUCUACCCCGCCUUAACGGCGCCGGCAAACAUACGCCCGGCCGUCGUCCGAGGUCGGCGCUGGCCCAGCGGGUGCUCAGCUCAUCUUUGCCGCUCAUAAAGUGCGACGACUACGAGCGGCAGGUCAUUCGCCGCGUUUCUACCACGCCGAAACAUCCAAGGUGGGUGUUCAUCAAGUGCGAAAAAGAUAAGGUAUAUGCUUUUUUUUUCUUCGGUUGUGCUUUCGGAUUCGGCGUAAUUUCAAUAGCUCUUGGCUCACACGCAAAAUUGUGUGUAGGAUGGAUGCAAAUUCUGGUAUUGAGAAGAAGAAUACAUCGAUCUUUUGAUUGGGCGAAAUAUGAUAGAUGCUCGUGCACUCCUUGUUAGAAUGGAGGCUAGAGAUGAGAUUUGAUGGGUACUUCUUUAGAAUCGAAGAAAAAAGAAAUAUAUAAAAUCGAGAAUCCGUAGAUUAACAAUGAAAGCAUCAAAAAUAUAUUAAUCCAACUUAUGAGAGCAGUUAUGAAAGUUGGAUUUUUUAAAUGCCCAGUUAAGAUUUGGUUAAUGUACUAAAAGAUCCAUGUAGCCUGAUAAGAUGCAGCCGAAAUUCGGCCGUUCAUUGAGCGAACGGCCGACGCAUCCACAAAUUCGAAUGGACACCAUUUCACUGUUAUCCUCAAACAAACGAAAAUUGAAUAAAACGGACGUGUGUUUGAGGUCCUACGUUGGAAUUGCCCUUGAACAAGUUCCAAUAGAAGAAGAAAAAGUAAUUAACCGCGGGUGGUAACGUGGUCAAGAUUCGGUCAAAAGAAAAUCGAAGAGCAGAGCAUGGAUAGUUCUCUGGGUGUUUGCGUGCGGCGAAUGACUAGCCGACUGACGGGAGUGAUGGCGGCUGCUGAGUGACUGCUCCGCUCUGCUCGAGCCGAGUGAUGACUGGUGAGACUGCGUGCGGGCCCAGCCCACUGUCACCCCGGCCCCACGCCAGCUGCCACGCCUCGAGAUCCCCUCGUUGAUGCCAUCUCCCAUGCGCCGGGAAGGGAAGCGCACAAGUGUUUUUUUCUUUU